GACGAACGCUGGCGGCGUGCUUAACACAUGCAAGUCGAACGAAGCUUGAUUACGGAUUCUUCGGAUGAAGUAUGAUAUGACUGAGUGGCGGACGGGUGAGUAACGCGUGAGUAACCUGCCCUUCAGAGGGGGAUAGCGUUUGGAAACGAACGGUAAUACCGCAUAAUGUAUUUUGACCGCAUGAUCGAAAUACCAAAGAUUUAUCGCUGAAGGAUGGACUCGCGUCUGAUUAGGUAGUUGGUGGGGUAACGGCCUACCAAGCCGACGAUCAGUAGCCGGACUGAGAGGUUGAUCGGCCACAUUGGGACUGAGACACGGCCCAGACUCCUACGGGAGGCAGCAGUGGGGAAUAUUGCACAAUGGGCGCAAGUCUGAUGCAGCAACGCCGCGUGAAGGAAGACGGUUUUCGGAUUGUAAACUUCUGUUCUUAGUGAAGAAUAAUGACGGUAGCUAAGGAGCAAGCCACGGCUAACUACGUG
rnacentral:rRNA from 1 species